UGGUAUCACUAGAUAACAAUCAGCAUCUG
rnacentral:piRNA from 1 species